AGUGAACGCUGGCGGUAGGCCUAACACAUGCAAGUCGAACGGCAGCACAGUAAGAGCUUGCUCUUACGGGUGGCGAGUGGCGGACGGGUGAGGAAUACACCGGAAUCUACUUUUUCGUGGGGGAUAACGUAGGGAAACUUACGCUAAUACCGCAUACGACCUACGGGUGAAAGCAGGGGAUCUUCGGACCUUGCGCGAUUGAAUGAGCCGAUGUCGGAUUAGCUAGUUGGCGGGGUAAAGGCCCACCAAGGCGACGAUCCGUAGCUGGUCUGAGAGGAUGAUCAGCCACACUGGAACUGAGGCACGGUCCAGACUCCUACGGGAGGCAGCAGUGGGGAAUAUUGGACAAUGGGGGCAAGCCUGAUCCAGCCAUACCGCGUGGGUGAAGAAGGCCUUCGGGUUGUAAAGCCCUUUUGUUGGGAAAGAAAAGCAGCAGGUUAAUACCCCGCUGUUCUGACGGUACCCAAAGAAUAAGCACCGGCUAACUUCGUG
rnacentral:rRNA from 1 species